rnacentral:lncRNA from 1 species
UAAGUUGGUCAGUAGUUAAACUAACUAAAUUUGGCUGAAGAUUGCUAUGUUCACUAUGCAAAGAUUAGACCGUUAGUUCCCUGAGUGAAGAGAUGCUAUCUUGGUAUCUCCAGCUUCCAACCGGGGGCUUGGCACAGAAUAGGGGCUUGGUAAAUGUUUUCCAAAUGAAUGGGAUGUCUGAUGGAAAGAAGACAAGGUGAAGGAAUUCCUGGGUAAUAUGGAGAUGAGAAUCUGUGAGAAGGAUACAUGUACUGAUGCCUGUCGCGGUGGACACACAGACGCACACAUUGCGGAACACCACCAUAAGAAUAUUGAGAAUAUCGAGAACACUUCAAUAUUCCAAACUUCAAUGGAAAUAUACGAACUGGAGUACACUCUUCUUCUGCCCUUGGACAUCAGGCUCUCUGGCCUUUGGACUCCAGGACUUAUACCAGCGCCCCUCUGGGUUCUCAGGCCUCUGUACUUGAACUGAGCCACACUGCCAGCAUGCCAGCUUCUCCAGCUUGCCAGGCCUGCUGUGGGACUUCUCAGCCUCCAUAAUCAUGUGUGCCAAUUCCCCUAAUAAAUCUCCUCUCAUCU